GAUGAACGCUAGCGGCAGGCUUAACACAUGCAAGUCGAGGGGCAGCGGGAGCAGCAAUGCUUGCCGGCGACCGGCGCACGGGUGAGUAACAGGUAUGCAAUCUGCCUCCGACCGGGGGAUAACCCGUCGAAAGACGGACUAACACCGCAUAAGACCACGGAGUGGCAUCACUUCGGGGUAAAAUAUUUAUAGGUCGGAGAUGAGCAUGCCCGUCAUUAGGUAGUUGGUAGAGUAACGGCCUACCAAGCCGACGAUGAUUAGGGGUUCUGAGAGGAAGGUCCCCCACACCGGUACUGAGACACGGACCGGACUCCUACGGGAGGCAGCAGUGAGGAAUAUUGGUCAAUGGGCGAGAGCCUGAACCAGCCAUGCCGCGUGAAGGAAGACGGCCCUACGGGUUGUAAACUUCUUUUAUACGGGAACAAUAAGCGAUACGCGUAUCGCGAUGAGCGUACCGUAUGAAUAAGCAUCGGCUAACUCCGUGCCAGCAGCCGCGGUAAUACGGAGGAUGCGAGCGUUAUCCGGAUUUAUUGGGUUUAAAGGGUGCGUAGGCGGGCACGUAAGUCAGCGGUGAAAUACCCCGGCUCAACCGGGGAACUGCCGUUGAUACUGCGUGUCUUGAGUAUAUUUGAGGCAGGCGGAAUGUGCAGUGUAGCGGUGAAAUGCUUAGAUAUUGCACAGAACACCGAUUGCGAAGGCAGCCUGCUAAGAUAAAACUGACGCUGAAGCACGAAAGUGUGGGGGAUCAAACAGGAUUAGAUACCCUGGUAGUCCACACUGUAAACGAUGAUUACCGGAUGUUUGUGCGAUUUGGCAUGAGCGUCUCGAGCGAAAGCAUUAAGUAAUCCACCUGGGGAGUACGUCGGCAACGAUGAAACUCAAAGGAAUUGACGGGGGCCCGCACAAGCGGAGGAACAUGUGGUUUAAUUCGAUGAUACGCGAGGAACCUUACCCGGGCUCGAACGGCUAAUGAAUAUAAUAGAGAUGUUAUAGUUUUCGGACAUUAGUCGAGGUGCUGCAUGGUUGUCGUCAGCUCGUGCCGUGAGGUGUCGGCUUAAGUGCCAUAACGAGCGCAACCCUUGUCGAUAGUUGCCAUCAGGUCAAGCUGGGGACUCUAUCGAGACUGCCACCGUAAGGUGCGAGGAGGGGGGGGAUGACGUCAAAUCAGCACGGCCCUUACGUCCGGGGCGACACACGUGUUACAAUGGGUGGUACAGAGGGAAGCUAGACAGUGAUGUCAUGCGAAUCUCGAAAUCCACUCUCAGUUCGGAUUGGAGUCUGCAACCCGACUCCAUGAAGUUGGAUUCGCUAGUAAUCGCGCAUCAGCCAUGGCGCGGUGAAUACGUUCCCGGGCCUUGUACACACCGCCCGUCAAGCCAUGGGAGCUGGGGGUGCCUGAAGUCCGAGACCGCGAGGAUCGGCCUAGGGCAAGACCAGUGACUGGGGCU
rnacentral:rRNA from 1 species